rnacentral:lncRNA from 1 species
CUGGUCGGUUAAAACCACUCUAGGCGGCUAGAUAUGACAGCAUUUAUCACGCGUCAGUAACUGCCAGUGUUCAGACACUCCGAAAACCGCGGUAGGCGGGCUUACUUUCCCCGCCUACUUCAGCGUCUGCCAAUGCGGAGGCUUUUAGCCAACGGAUCGGCCCUUCCUCCUCAGCGAGGAGGCGGGGGAACAAGAGGCGGCCCUCCUUAUGCAAAACUACGCCUAAGCCUCGCUUUCCGGAGCCAUAAUUCGAGCGUCUUUUGAUUGGAGAACUAGAGUAGGCCGACUCCCUUUUUUCACCAAUCACGAUUGUUCUAUUCACGCCUCAACCGGCCGCUACGCGAAGCAAAACAACCAGUCAACUCGACCGGGCGUGGUCAAAGCCUCCGCCCUCUUGUUAUUUGCAUGAGGCCCUACUAUUGGCUGCUCACACCCCCUCACCAGCACCUAAAAGGGGCGUUUUCAACCUGACGUCCAAAUGACGUAGGGCUGCGUCAAGAUCAAGUUACGAGAGGCAGUAAAGCCCCCGAGCCAUCACGAUUGGAUUUCCGCUCGGCUGCGUCACUGAGAAGGCGGGUUGAAUUUUAUAAAUAGCCGGGGGCGGAGUAAAGGAUAAGGACGGCCACCGGAGAAACAGAGACCAAUCAGGUCCCUUGACGUCAUAGACAUGUUGCAUAUUCAGUCAAUUGCCCUCUGCGGAUCCAUGUACUACACAUGCAAAAUGCGAGCUCAUAAAACAACCAGAUGGGAGCCAAAGAAAAGAAAAGAAUGUUUUUUCUUUCAAGAAUACACGUUGGCGGGGACAUCAAAUAAAAAGACGCCCUGUUUGCCUGGCUCAUCGCCACCCUCGUAAACCUUGCUUGGAUGGCCGGUGGGGGGGUCUCCUUGUUGUUGCGCUCAGGGCGGUUCGUAAAAGCUUUCUGAUUUACCCGACGCGAUUUGGGCGGAUGCCUCAGACCCGCCUUCAAAGGGUUAACCCCCGCCUUUCCCUCGGGGUUGCGUUUCAAUAUCCUGCCGGCGCUUUCGCACAACCGACCUCGACAUGAAGGGCCGGGGGAAUCAAGCCCUGUCGUCUUCGGCUGCCGGGACAAUGUCUGUGGUCUGUUGACCCAUUGGAGGGUGGGGGGCGCGGGCGGCUGCUUUAGAUUUUUAGUGGCAAAUCGCUUAUUACGAGCAGACCCCCCUCGCCUCCCGCUCUCCAAUAACUUAUCCGUGCCAUAAAUUAAAAUCCACGUACCCUGUGGUCCAUUACGGGGAAGUGUUAUAUCAUGGCCUCUGUCAGAGGUUAUUGCUACAUCAGGCCUUUGUAUGGAUGGUAAAU